UACGAAGGGGCUAGCGUUGUUCGGAAUCACUGGGCGUAAAGCGCAUGCAGGCGGAUCGUUAAGUCGGGGGUGAAAGCCCGAGGCUCAACCUCGAGCCUGCAUUCGAUACUGGGCGGCUAGAGUCUGGUAGGGGGAUCUGGAAUUCCUGGUGUAGCGGUGGAAUGCGCAGAUAUCAGGAGGAACACCGGUGGCGAAGGCGGGUCUCUGGGCCGAUACUGACGCUGAGGAGCGAAAGCGUGGGGAGCGAACAGG
rnacentral:rRNA from 1 species